rnacentral:rRNA from 1 species
GAUGAACGCUGGCGGUGUGCCUAAUACAUGCAAGUCGAGCGAACGACGAGGAGCUUGCUCCUCUGAUUUAGCGGCGGACGGGUGAGUAACACGUGGGUAACCUGCCUGUAAGACGGGGAUAACUCCGGGAAACCGGAGCUAAUACCGGAUGAUAACGAGAAGCGCCUGCUUCUUUUUUGAAAGUCGGUUUCGGCUGACGCUUACAGAUGGGCCCGCGGCGCAUUAGCUAGUUGGUGAGGUAACGGCUCACCAAGGCGACGAUGCGUAGCCGACCGGAGAGGGGGAUCGGCCACACUGGGACUGAGACACGGCCCAGACUCCUACGGGAGGCAGCAGUAGGGAAUCUUCGGCAAUGGACGAAAGUCUGACCGAGCAACGCCGCGUGAGCGAUGAAGGCCUUCGGGUCGUAAAGCUCUGUUGUCAGAGAAGAACAAGUACCGGAGUAACUGCCGGUACCUUGACGGUACCUGACCAGAAAGCCACGGCUAACUACGUGCCAGCCGCCGCCGUAAGAC